AAAAAAUUAGUUAACCCCUAUAACAUUAGUUUGUCAAACUAAAAUUAUUUUUUCAAAAAUAUUUUUUA
rnacentral:tRNA from 1 species